UUGAUGCAGUGCUUUUCGAGAGCUUUUGCGGGUUUUUGAAGAGGAAAGUUGAAAGAUGUGAAUGAAUAGCGGUUUUGAGAGUGGGUAGUUUUGCAGGGUAGGCGGAGUGAGUGCGAACGAAAAAUACCUUGUAUCAUUUAUUAUAUUGGAAUCAUGAGGAUGCUUUAGGUACAGAUUCAUUUUUGUUUCGCGCGUGGCCAAUGGGGCCGUUAUACUUUUUAUUUUAUUUUUUUUUUUUAGCUCCGCUACGUGUAGUAAUAAGUGCGGUAGUUAUAUAUGUUUUGAGAUAAACGCCAUGAGCAUUUGAGAAAAAUCAACUUGGGUG
rnacentral:sRNA from 1 species